GGUAGUGUGGCCGAGUGGUCUAAGGCGCUGGAUUAAGGCUCCAGUCUCUCAGGAGGCGUGGGUUCAAAUCCCUCCACUGCCA